rnacentral:rRNA from 1 species
UACGGGGGGAGCAAGCGUUGUUCGGAUUUACUGGGCGUAAAGGGCGCGUAGGCGGUUUGUACAGUCAGGUGUGAAAUUCCCGGGCUCAACCUGGGGGCUGCACUUGAUACGUAUGGACUGGAGUGGGGAAGAGGGUCGUGGAAUUCCCAGUGUAGAGGUGAAAUUCGUAGAUAUUGGGAAGAACACCGGUGGCGAAGGCGGCGACCUGGUCCUUGACUGACGCUGAGGCGCGAAAGCGUGGGGAGCAAACAGG